AGAGUUUGAUCAUGGCUCAGAUUGAACGCUGGCGGCAGGCCUAACACAUGCAAGUCGAGCGGUAGCACAGAGAGCUUGCUCUCGGGUGACGAGCGGCGGACGGGUGAGUAAUGUCUGGGAAACUGCCUGAUGGAGGGGGAUAACUACUGGAAACGGUAGCUAAUACCGCAUAACGUCGCAAGACCAAAGUGGGGGACCUUCGGGCCUCAUGCCAUCAGAUGUGCCCAGAUGGGAUUAGCUGGUAGGUGGGGUAACGGCUCACCUAGGCGACGAUCCCUAGCUGGUCUGAGAGGAUGACCAGCCACACUGGAACUGAGACACGGUCCAGACUCCUACGGGAGGCAGCAGUGGGGAAUAUUGCACAAUGGGCGCAAGCCUGAUGCAGCCAUGCCGCGUGUGUGAAGAAGGCCUUCGGGUUGUAAAGCACUUUCAGCGGGGAGGAAGGCGGUGAGGUUAAUAACCUCACCGAUUGACGUUACCCGCAGAAGAAGCACCGGCUAACUCCGUGCCAGCAGCCGCGGUAAUACGGAGGGUGCAAGCGUUAAUCGGAAUUACUGGGCGUAAAGCGCACGCAGGCGGUCUGUCAAGUCGGAUGUGAAAUCCCCGGGCUCAACCUGGGAACUGCAUUCGAAACUGGCAGGCUAGAGUCUUGUAGAGGGGGGUAGAAUUCCAGGUGUAGCGGUGAAAUGCGUAGAGAUCUGGAGGAAUACCGGUGGCGAAGGCGGCCCCCUGGACAAAGACUGACGCUCAGGUGCGAAAGCGUGGGGAGCAAACAGGAUUAGAUACCCUGGUAGUCCACGCUGUAAACGAUGUCGAUUUGGAGGUUGUGCCCUUGAGGCGUGGCUUCCGGAGCUAACGCGUUAAAUCGACCGCCUGGGGAGUACGGCCGCAAGGUUAAAACUCAAAUGAAUUGACGGGGGCCCGCACAAGCGGUGGAGCAUGUGGUUUAAUUCGAUGCAACGCGAAGAACCUUACCUGGUCUUGACAUCCACAGAACUUUCCAGAGAUGGAUUGGUGCCUUCGGGAACUGUGAGACAGGUGCUGCAUGGCUGUCGUCAGCUCGUGUUGUGAAAUGUUGGGUUAAGUCCCGCAACGAGCGCAACCCUUAUCCUUUGUUGCCAGCGGUUAGGCCGGGAACUCAAAGGAGACUGCCAGUGAUAAACUGGAGGAAGGUGGGGAUGACGUCAAGUCAUCAUGGCCCUUACGACCAGGGCUACACACGUGCUACAAUGGCAUAUACAAAGAGAAGCGACCUCGCGAGAGCAAGCGGACCUCAUAAAGUAUGUCGUAGUCCGGAUUGGAGUCUGCAACUCGACUCCAUGAAGUCGGAAUCGCUAGUAAUCGUAGAUCAGAAUGCUACGGUGAAUACGUUCCCGGGCCUUGUACACACCGCCCGUCACACCAUGGGAGUGGGUUGCAAAAGAAGUAGGUAGCUUAACCUUCGGGAGGGCGCUUACCACUUUGUGAUUCAUGACUGGGGUGAAGUCGUAACAAGGUAACCGUAGGGGAACCUGCGGUUGGAUCACCU
rnacentral:rRNA from 4 species